rnacentral:lncRNA from 1 species
CUGUUUGAGAACUUGGAAAUGGUCAAGAUCCUUACCCCUAAACCAUAUAUACUCAUGUAUGGGACAAUAUAACAAAUCAAAUGAAAUAUAGGGGAAGUCCCUGUGGUCAUCCCAACCCUCCUGUUUGAGAACUUGGAAACGGUUGAGAUCCCCACACCAAAACAAUAUAUAUUCAUGUAUGGGCCAAUAUAACUAAUUAAAUGAAAUAUAGGGGAGUCCCUGGGGUCAACCUACCCCUCCUGUUUGAGAACUUGGAAACCAAUGAGAUCCCCACCCCUAAACCAUAUAUAUUCAUGUAUGGGACAAUAUAACAAAUAAAAUGAAAUGUAGGGGAAGUCCCUAGGGUCACCCUACCCCCAGUGGCGGAUCCAGAAAUUUUCAUAAGUGGGGGCCCCCUUAAGUCACGCUUCAGUGAUUCCCUAUAUAAGCAACCAAUUUUUUUCCCAAAAGGGGGGGGGG